UGAUAUUAUUAAAGGGCUGCAGUAUUUUGACUGUACAAAGGUAGCAUAAUCAUUUGUCUCUUAAUUGGUGACUUGUAUGAAAGAUUGAAUGAAAUAUGAACUGUCUCAAUUUAAUUUAUAAAAUUUAAUUUUUUAGUUAAAAAGCUAAAAUAAGUUUAAAAGACGAGAAGACCCUAUAGAGUUUUAUAAUUAUAUUAAUUAUAAUAAAAUAUAAAUUUUUUAAUUAAAAUUAAUAUAAUUAUUUUGUUGGGGUGACAAAAAAAUUAAAUUAACUUUUUUUAAAAAAUUUACAUUAAUUUAUGAUUUUAUGAUCCAUUUUUAGUGAUUAAAAGAAAAAAUUACCUUAGGGAUAACAGCGUAAUUUUUUUUUUUAGAUCAAAUAAAAAAAAAAGUUUGCGACCUCGAUGUUGGAUUAAGAUAAAAUUUAAAUGCAAAAGUUUAAAAUUUUUGAUCUGUUCGAUCAUUAAAAUCUUACAUGA
rnacentral:rRNA from 1 species